AACGAACGCUGGCGGCAUGCCUAACACAUGCAAGUCGUACGAGACCUUCGGGUCUAGUUGCGCACGGGUGCGUAACGCGUGGGAACCUGCCCUUAGGUUCGGAAUAACUCCCCGAAAGGGGUGCUAAUACCGGAUAAUGUCUUCGGACCAAAGAUUUAUCGCCUUUGGAUGGGCCCGCGUUGGAUUAGCUAGUUGGUAGGGUAAAAGCCUACCAAGGCGACGAUCCAUAGCUGGUCUGAGAGGAUGAUAAGCCACACUGGGACUGAGACACGGCCCAGACUCCUACGGGAAGCAGCAGUGGGGAAUAUUGGACAAUGGGCGAAAGCCUGAUCCAGCAAUGCCGCGUGAGUGAUGAAGGCCUUAGGGUUGUAAAGCUCUUUUACCCGGGAUGAUAAUGACAGUACCGGGAGAAUAAGCUCCGGCUAACUACGUG
rnacentral:rRNA from 1 species